GUGAACGCUGGCGGUAGGCCUAACACAUACAAGUCGAACGGCAGCACAGUAAGAGCUUGCUCUUACGGGUGGCGAGUGGCAGACGGGUGAGGAAUACAUCGGAAUCUACUUUUUCAUGGGGGAUAACGUAGGGAAACUUACGCUAAUACCGCAUACGACCUACGGGUGAAAGCAGGGGAUCUUCGGACCUUGCGCGAUUGAAUGAGCCGAUGUCGGAUUAGCUAGUUGGCGGGGUAAAGGCCCACCAAGGCGACGAUCCGUAGCUGGUCUGAGAGGAUGAUCAGCCACACUGGAACUGAGACACGGUCCAGACUCCUACGGGAGGCAGCAGUGGGGAAUAUUGGACAAUGGGCGCAAGCCUGAUCCAGCCAUACCGCGUGGGUGAAGAAGGCCUUCGGGUUGUAAAGCCCUUUUGUUGGGAAAGAAAAGCAGCAGGUUAAUACCCCGCUGUUCUGACGGUACCCAAAGAAUAAGCACCGGCUAACUUCGUG
rnacentral:rRNA from 1 species